rnacentral:rRNA from 1 species
UUAGUAGGGAAGAAGCGAAAGUGACGGUACCUGCAGAAAAAGCACCGGCUAACUACGUGCCAGCAGCCGCGGUAAUACGUAGGGUGCAAGCGUUGUCCGGAAUUAUUGGGCGUAAAGAGCUCGUAGGCGGUUUGUCGCGUCUGCUGUGAAAUCUGGGGGCUCAACCCCCAGCCUGCAGUGGGUACGGGCAGACUAGAGUGCGGUAGGGGAGAUUGGAAUUCCUGGUGUAGCGGUGGAAUGCGCAGAUAUCAGGAGGAACACCGAUGGCGAAGGCAGAUCUCUGGGCCGUAACUGACGCUGAGGAGCGAAAGCAUGGGGAGCGAACAGGAUUAGAUACCCUGGUAGUCCAUGCCGUAAACGUUGGGAACUAGAUGUGGGGGCCAUUCCACGGUCUCCGUGUCGCAGCUAACGCAUUAAGUUCCCCGCCUGGGGAGUACGGCCGCAAGGCUAAAACUCAAAGGAAUUGACGGGGGCCCGCACAAGCGGCGGAGCAUGCGGAUUAAUUCGAUGCAACGCGAAGAACCUUACCAAGGCUUGACAUAUACCGGAAACGUCCAGAGAUGGUCGCCCCGCAAGGUCGGUAUACAGGUGGUGCAUGGUUGUCGUCAGCUCGUGUCGUGAGAUGUUGGGUUAAGUCCCGCAACGAGCGCAACCCUCGUUCUAUGUUGCCAGCACGUUAUGGUGGGAACUCAUAGGAGACUGCCGGGGUCAACUCGGAGGAAGGUGGGGAUGACGUCAAAUCAUCAUGCCCCUUAUGUCUUGGGCUUCACGCAUGCUACAAUGGCCGGUACAAAGGGCUGCGAUACCGUAAGGUGGAGCGAAUCCCAAAAAGCCGGUCUCAGUUCGGAUUGAGGUCUGCAACUCGACCUCAUGAAGUCGGAGUCGCUAGUAAUCGCAGAUCAGCAACGCUGCGGUGAAUACGUUCCCGGGCCUUGUACACACCGCCCGUCAAGUCAUGAAAGUCGGUAACACCCGAAGCCAGUGGCCUAACCC